CUGUGAAGUUAAAAUAAGCUUUUGACAGUUCAGCAGAGUCGAUAUAGCUCAUGUCUAUAUGAUGGUUGUCAGUGUCACACAAACAGAGAAGAAGAAGAAGGUGCAUUAGAGUGAAGAAAGAACAGAUAUUUUCAGUCUCUUUGGGUUUUUAUAGCAGAGCUGACCUUGGGUGAAGGAUUGGGCGAGGAUGGUCAGGAUGUUGGGUAGCGGGUGGAGGCUGGCUGCGGCACUGUGGACAUGUAGAGAGGCAUUCCUUGCGAUGCUGCGGCUGUGGAUUCACACACAGCUGGAAGGAUGCAUCAAAGUGAAAGAGAGGAGGGUGGGAGGUCAGAGGAGGAGAGACAAGUAGCAGGUACACAGCACUGUAGAAUGAAGAUGAAGAAGCUGGAUGACUGACCAAAAGAUCAAAAAGAAGGGGGGUUUGGGGGUGUGACUCAGCCCUCAUAGCCACUUCCUUUGGCAUCUUCAGGAUGGACAGAUGAAAGUAGGAGAGGGAGUAACUCAUCGUGUGGUCAGCUUGCUCACCAUAUAGGAACGGAUACUGGGAAAGGAAGCAUGUGCGUCUGGGUGAUGGGGGGCUGGGAUAAUAUGUAUGUGUAUGAGUGUUUGGUGUUUGACAGAGGCACAAUUAUUCCAUUUCCCGUAACACCAGAGGAAUGCAGGGUGAGAUUCCUGCUCUGUGAGUCGUGCCCUCUCACCUGCCAUCACCAUACGGAUACUAUUUCAUCCUUCCCUUUCCCCCCUCGAACGGGGAAUUCCCCAGUGUGUUUGUUUUUACUCAUGUAGGAAGUUACAGAGUUUUUAUAAGCUGUGUUGUUCUGGUAAUAAUUGGAUACAAGUUGCAGCUUAGUUUAACAAAAAUAUGUUCCUGUUUUCUCUGUACACAAUUUAUUGCGCUCAUUUAAAUGAGAUCAGGAGUCUAAUCUAGUCAUCAUAAAUGAGGGGAAACAAGGAAAAAUGCUACUCAUUUUACAGCAUUUUAGAGCUGGUUACUUACAAGCAUGGAGGAAAUAAAUCUGGAGCAUUAUGUGGAUGCAGCGUGUCGAUGGAGUAAAUUGCUUGUUUGCGUUGAGAGAGAGGAUGCUUUGUCAUGCUGGGUGUGUAAUGUUUGUGUGUGUCUUUGCGAGAGUAAGCUUAAGAAGCUACUGCACCUUUUAUUUCCUGUAUGGUUAAUUAUCCUAUCAUGUUUCUAAGGCUUACAAAACAAUAAGAUAUUCACUGUUUACAUCAUUAUACCUUACUGAAAAUAUUAAUACAGGGCAGUUUAUCUACGUGUGUGUGUGUGUGUGUGUGUGUGUGUGUGUGUGUGUGUGUGUGUGUGUGUGUGUGUGUGUGUGUGUGUGUGUGUGUGUGUGUGUGUAUGAGCCUAUGGUGACUCACAGUUACAAUAAUGACUCUGGCAGAGCAGUUGGAUGAACAGCUCACGCUGACUGUAAAAGAGAGAAAGAGCGAGAGGAGAGGGGGCUGUGCUCUCCCUGGCAUCUCCAUCUCAUAACUCUUCUGCCGCUCAGUGUGUUCAUACACACACAUAGAAACACACAUAUUCAUACAGCCUGAAGACAACCCUGAGGACUACAGCACCAUGUUCAGUAUAAUACACUUUAGACCGAGCAGCGAGUGUGAAAACGCCUCCAGGGAGGAAAUAAUGCUUUGUGUGGUAGGUGACGGAUCUUUUGCAACAGAAUCAAUGGGCCAUCGUGCAGCAAGAGGCAGCCUCCCUCUACAAACAACAACCGCUACAUUUGAUCUACACUGCAUCCAACUAGCAGCACGAGGCUUGCCAGUCCAUACAGUAUAACACAAUAUCAAAGGAUGUCUUUUUCUGUAUCCAACUUAUCGUGUAUUGAAUGUUUAAGCACAAUGCACUGUCUAUAAAAUCAGAAGACUGCACUCAGAAACUGAUUUCAUUUGGUGACGUAGAUGUUUGUACCCAGUCUCUAGCACCAUAUGAAAACAGUGUUCUGGGUGGUGGUAUAUCAGCACGUAAGUACAACUUCUCUCCACACGUGUGUUUUAUGGAACAAUCAAAAUGUACACAGAAAUAAUACCCUAUUUCUUAAGGACUGGUAUGACCAACAUGUUGUGUUCAUUUGUGAACUUCUAAAUGAGAGGGGGGGACCUAGCUACCUAUGAAGAGUUUAUCCAUCACAGAGAAUUGGACAUUUCUCGAACUCAACAUUCCAGAGUACUUAAAAGUAUAUCCACUAAUUUGCUGACUCUCAUUAAAGAGUAACUGUCA